AGGGUUCGAUUCUGGCUCAGGAUGAACGCUAGCUACAGGCUUAACACAUGCAAGUCGAGGGGCAGCAUUGGAGUAGCAAUACUUCAGAUGGCGACCGGCGCACGGGUGAGUAACACGUAUCCAACCUGCCGCUUACUCGGGGAUAGCCUUUCGAAAGAAAGAUUAAUACCCGAUGGUAUAAAGAGUUCGCAUGUUCUCUUUAUUAAAGAAUUUCGGUAAGCGAUGGGGAUGCGUUCCAUUAGAUUGUUGGCGGGGUAACGGCCCACCAAGUCUACGAUGGAUAGGGGUUCUGAGAGGAAGGUCCCCCACAUUGGAACUGAGACACGGUCCAAACUCCUACGGGAGGCAGCAGUGAGGAAUAUUGGUCAAUGGACGCGAGUCUGAACCAGCCAAAAGUAGCGUGAAGGAUGACUGCCCUAUGGGUUGUAAACUUCUUUUAUAAGGGAAUAAAGUGAGGGACGUGUCCCUUUUUGUAUGUACCUUAUGAAUAAGGAUCGGCUAACUCCGUGCCAGCCGCCGC
rnacentral:rRNA from 1 species